AUGCCGCCGAAGAAGAAGGCUUCGGAGGCGGCUGCUCCGUCCGCGCCAAACCCACCACCGCCGGAGCAAACGGCUGAUGGGGCAGACGCCGGCGGAAGAACGGGCGUCGACAAGGGAGCUCACGGUGCUGCCAGGUCCAAGGACAAGGCUGCGCUGCCCAUCGGCGGCGUAGUCGGCUCCCACAAUGACCGGGCGCACUCCAAGACCUCGGCGUCCGUACAUGCACCGCGCCCAUCUCAGGAGGCGCGGGACCGGCAGCGUAAUGGUGCUCACAGUACCAUGCGUUUGCUGGACCAAGAUCGAGCUGGUGGAUCUCGGAGUGCUCAAGACCAGCAUGCACGCCAACAUGCUGGCACGAGCGAGGCACGGUCGCCUGGACGGGAUACUGCUCCUUCUAACAUAGUUAGAAGUCCGAGCAUAUCCCGCUCCUCGCACCGUUCGCCACCGUCACCCGCCACUCCAGCGGAAGCUUUGGCGCGAGCUCAACUGCUCCUGGACUACCCUCCAAGGCAGACAAGAUCGACGACUGGAGGGCCACCAUUCAGAGUCUCAUCGGCUUCGCCAACGGCGACACUCAACGGCAGCCGAGCACGUCGUAGCCGCGGCAAGUCAGCCAGGCACGAGCCGGUGGCGACAAGACCGGUGGGGGUGCAACCACUGUGCACUCUCCGCCCCGAAGGCCAAGAUCGCCGACUCGCCGGAUCCACCUCGACAGCGACUCUACCGCAUCAUCAGAUCCACGAGCUCGUCGCGAUCAGCGCCAAGUUCUUCACGAACGACAGCAAGAAGACGCUCGUACUCGCAUCGAGCGCCGAAGAGAAGCGCGACGUCAAUCGGACCAGCGCGUUGGGCCCUCUGUCGACAUGCAUGCGCCAGGGGAAACAAGCGACUUGCCGUACGCGGUAG
rnacentral:rRNA from 1 species